rnacentral:misc_RNA from 1 species
UUGCAGGUCUGUCUGUUGCUUGAAGGGCGCAUCCGUUGACUGCAGCCAUUCACCUUCCUCCGCCCUUCUGGCUGUAGUCCAGGGUUCUCCUCGAUUUUUUUUUUGUGUGUGUGUGCGUGCGUGUGUGCGUGUGUGUGCGUGUUGCUGUUGUUGUUCUCUAGCAGUCGUCAUAUCGGCGUUAGUGCGCAUGCUUCAGCGAACAACACUGCGCUGCUACAGCGCCCUCCUCGGCCAGGCGACGCCGGUGCUUCUCGGCAGCAAGGGCGGCACGCCAAAGCGCAAGAAGAACCCCAUGCAGCUUCGUCGCAAGACGUACGGCCUUCACUUCAAGGAGCGCUACCUCAAGCUGGAGGAGUGGUACUUUUGCCCUCUCUGCGCAGAGCCCAAGAAGCAAGGGGAGUGGUGCCGACGUGAGGACUGCCGUCAAAUCAAGCCGUAAAGGGCGUCGAUCCGUUCAGCUCGUAAGCAACGCAACUCUUUCGUCUGCUCCUCGGCGCGUAUGCCGUGGCGCGCGGCUGCCUUGGCUGUGUAUGCGGUGGAUGGGUGGACAGGGUGCUUCUUGUGUAUGUAGCGCCUCACCGUAUGCGCUGUGGCGUGCCAAGCACCACGGUGUGGGCAGGGGUUUCUCAGAAACAGGUGUAGGGUGCGUGUAAAAGCAGAUGCGAGCUGUUCAGGCGUGGGCUGAAGUUCCCCGAUCCCAUCGUUUUGUUUGUUGGGUUCCCCGUUCUCAUGUUACCCUCUUGCGGCAGAGCACACAAACCAACCGGAGAGGCACUUUGCCUGUGUCUGUGUGUGUGUGUGUGCGUGUGAGUUUUGUUUAACUGCUGCACCAUUCGGCGCACCAGGUGGCGCCUUCUACAGCUCGUGAAAGCUCCGCUCGACUUACUGUUUCCUUCCGCAGCAAAAGAAAAGAGGAUGACGGGAAUGCGCAUGCCCGCACUCGCAUCCACCGAACGAAAGAAUGAAGUAGCAAAGCCAUGGUAUUCACGUGGACGGAUGCGUGUUGGCUCUUCAUGGCGGGUGUCUCUGCUAGGCCCGUUUGCCGAGUGGAAGGUGUCAUGAGUGGCUUGCAAUGCUUACGCGGAGGGGUCGAUAACACACGCAUACGUUGAACAAUCCAAGUGCUCGCUCAUCCUUCCCGCAAAAGCGAGACAGCGGGGGCGAGGCAAUAGUGCUCUGUUAUGCACGCCGCGAGGUGGGAAGGCUCAGGUACACACGAGUACGCAUGCCUUAUACUGGGAACUCUCUCGCUUCACCGACGUGUCCACGAUUUUGUGCCCCCUGUGCGGAGGGCACAAGAGUGCGAUGACGCAGGCGGGCUGUGGCCUCGAGCUUUGCGGCUCUUGAUCCACUGAGACCAAAAAGCGCCGAGGGCCGUACGCCUCCGCUUUAGGCGAUCGUGCGCGCUGGAGUGCUCGCGUGAUGCUCUGCCCCCAACCGGGGGCGGAGCUGAGGGUGCUCCCUAUACCUUCUCUUUUAUUUCUUCACGCUCUUCAUGGAUAAAUAAACUUCUUCUUUUGUCGCCGCGCAUCCAUCGCAUACCGUAG